UACGGAGGGUGCAAGCGUUAUUCGGAAUGACUGGGCGUAAAGCGCACGCAGGCGGUUACUUAAGUCAGAUGUGAAAGCCCCGGGCUUAACCUGGGAAUUGCAUUUGAAACUGGGUAACUAGAGUAUGUCAGAGGAAGGCGGAAUUUCCAGUGUAGCAGUGAAAUGCGUAGAGAUUGGAAGGAACACCGAUGGCGAAGGCAGCCUUCUGGGGCAAUACUGACGCUCAUGUGCGAAAGCGUGGGUAGCAAACAGG
rnacentral:rRNA from 1 species